rnacentral:rRNA from 1 species
CACGUAGGGUGCGAGCGUUUGUCCGGAAUUAUUGGGCGUAAAGAGCUCGUAGGCGGUUUGUCGCGUCUGCCGUGAAAGUCCGGGGCUCAACUCCGGAUCUGCGGUGGGUACGGGCAGACUAGAGUGAUGUAGGGGAGGACUGGAAUUCCUGGUGUGAGCGGUGAAAUGACGCAGAUAUCAGGAGGAACACCGAUGGCGAAGGCAGGUCUCUGGGCCAUUACUGACACUGAGAAGCGAAAGCAUGGGGAGCGAACAGG